rnacentral:rRNA from 1 species
GACGAACCGUGCAAACGUUAUUCGGAAUCACUGGGCUUAAAGCGCGUGUAGGCGGGCCAGCACGUCGGUCGCUGAAAUCCCCCGGCUCAACCGGGGAACGGGCGCCGAUACGACUGGCCUGGAGGAGGUAGGGGGAGCCGGAACUCACGGUGGAGCGGUGAAAUGCAUUGAGAUCGUGAGGAACGCCCGUGGCGAAAGCGGGCUCCUGGACCUCGCCUGACGCUGAGACGCGAAAGCCAGGGGA